GACGAACGCUGGCGGCGUGCUUAACACAUGCAAGUCGAACGAUGAAGCCCUUCGGGGUGGAUUAGUGGCGAACGGGUGAGUAACACGUGGGCAAUCUGCCCUUCACUCUGGGACAAGCCCUGGAAACGGGGUCUAAUACCGGAUAACACUUCCAUUCGCAUGGGUGGAGGUUAAAAGGCUCCGGCGGUGAAGGAUGAGCCCCGCGGCCU
rnacentral:rRNA from 1 species